rnacentral:rRNA from 1 species
GACGUAGGGCGCGAGCGUUGUCCGGAUUUAUUGGGCGUAAAGAGCUCGUAGGCGGCUUGUCGCGUCGACUGUGAAAACCCGCGGCUCAACUGCGGGCCUGCAGCCGAUACGGGCAGGCUAGAGUUCGGUAGGGGAGACUGGAAUUCCUGGUGUAGCGGUGAAAUGCGCAGAUAUCAGGAGGAACACCUGCGGCGAAGGCGGGUUGCUGGGCUGACACUGACGCUGAGGCGCGAAAGCUAGGGGAGCGAACGGG